rnacentral:rRNA from 1 species
GCGCACGCAGGCGGUCUGUCAAGUCGGAUGUGAAAUCCCCGGGCUCAACCUGGGAACUGCAUCCGAAACUGGCAGGCUAGAGUCUUGUAGAGGGGGGUAGAAUUCCAGGUGUAGCGGUGAAAUGCGUAGAGAUCUGGAGGAAUACCGGUGGCGAAGGCGGCCCCCUGGACAAAGACUGACGCUCAGGUGCGAAAGCGUGGGGAGCAAACAGGAUUAGAUACCCUGAUAGUCCACGCCGUAAACGAUGUCGACUUGGAGGUUGUGCCCUUGAGGCGUGGCUUCCGGAGCUAACGCGUUAAGUCGACCGCCUGGGGAGUACGGCCGCAAGGUUAAAACUCAAAUGAAUUGACGGGGGCCCGCACAAGCGGUGGAGCAUGUGGUUUAAUUCGAUGCAACGCGAAGAACCUUACCUACUCUUGACAUCCAGAGAACUUAGCAGAGAUGCUUUGGUGCCUUCGGGAACUCUGAGACAGGUGCUGCAUGGCUGUCGUCAGCUCGUGUUGUGAAAUGUUGGGUUAAGUCCCGCAACGAGCGCAACCCUUAUCCUUUGUUGCCAGCGAUUCGGUCGGGAACUCAAAGGAGACUGCCAGUGAUAAACUGGAGGAAGGUGGGGAUGACGUCAAGUCAUCAUGGCCCUUACGAGUAGGGCUACACACGUGCUACAAUGGCAUAUACAAAGAGAAGCGACCUCGCGAGAGCAAGCGGACCUCAUAAAGUAUGUCGUAGUCCGGAUUGGAGUCUGCAACUCGACUCCAUGAAGUCGGAAUCGCUAGUAAUCGUGGAUCAGAAUGCCACGGUGAAUACGUUCCCGGGCCUUGCACUCACCGCCCGUC